rnacentral:rRNA from 1 species
CCAAUAGCGUAUAUUAAAGUUGUUGCAGUUAAAAAGCUCGUAGUUGAAUUUCGGGAUUUAUCCGUUGGUCGGGCUUUUGGGUCUGUACUGGCGUGAUGGAUUUCUACCUUCUGAAUAACCGGCAUGUCAUUAAUUUGGUGCGCCGGGGAAGCAGGACUGUUACCUUGAAAAAAUUAGAGUGCUUAAAGCAGGCUAUUGCCUGAAUACAUUAGCAUGGAAUAAUGAAAUAGGACGGCAUGGUUCUAUUUUGUUGGUUUCUAGGAUCACCGUAAUGAUUAAUAGGGAUAGUUGGGGGCAUUAGUAUUCAAUUGUCAGAGGUGAAAUUCUUGGAUUUAUUGAAGACUAACUACUGCGAAAGCAUUUGCCAAGGAUGUUUUCAUUAAUCAAGAACGAAAGUUAGGGGAUCGAAGACGAUCAGAUACCGUCGUAGUCUUAACCAUAAACUAUGCCGACUAGGGAUCGGACGAAGUUAAUUUUAUAAUGACGCGUUCGGCACCUUACA